rnacentral:rRNA from 1 species
AUUGAACGCUGGCGGCAGGCCUAACACAUGCAAGUCGAACGAGUGGCGGACGGGUGAGUAAUGUCUGGGAAACUGCCUGAUGGAGGGGGAUAACUACUGGAAACGGUAGCUAAUACCGCAUACCAUCGGAUGUGCCCAUAUGGGAUUAGCUAGUUGGUGGGGUAAAGGCUCACCUAGGCGACGAUCCCUAGCUGGUCUGAGAGGAUGACCAGCCACACUGGGACUGAGACACGGUCCAGACUCCUACGGGAGGCAGCAGUGGGGAAUAUUGGACAAUGGGCGAAAGCCUGAUGCAGCCAUGCCGCGUGUAUGAUGAAGGCCUUCGGGUUGUAAAGCACUUUCGGCGGGGAGGCGGUACUCGCAGAAGAAGCACCGGCUAACUCCGUGCCAGCAGCCGCGGUAAUUC